rnacentral:rRNA from 1 species
UGGGGAAUUUCGGACAAUGGGCGCAAGCCUGAUCCAGUCAUGCCGCGUGCAGGAUGAAGGCCUUCGGGUUGUAAACUGCUUUUGUACGGCACGAAAAGACUCCUUCUAAUAAAGGGGGUCCAUGACGGUACCGUAAGAAUAAGCACCGGCUAACUACGUGCCAGCAGCCGCGGUAAUACGUAGGGUGCGAGCGUUAAUCGGAAUUACUGGGCGUAAAGCGUGCGCAGGCGGUUAUGUAAGACAGAGGUGAAAACCCCGGGCUCAACCUGGGAACUGCAUUUGUAACUGCAUAGCUAGAGUACGGCAGAGGGGGAUGGAAUUCCGCGUGUAGCAGUGAAAUGCGUAGAUAUGCGGAGGAACACCGAUGGCGAAGGCAAUCCCCUGGGACUGUACUGACGCUCAUGCACGAAAGCGUGGGGAGCAAACA